CCGAGAGGCUCCUGUUCCCCUCCUCUAGUCGCCCCAAUUCCCUUCUAUCGUCUCCAUUUCUCCCCUCCGGCUCCUUCUUUGCUGACGCCGGAGUUUCUGCAGAGGCCUAAUUGUGUACAACUUAGGCCGCAACUUCCGUAGCACCACCUGUUCCUCCCUGAUCAAUUUCCACUUAUGUGCCCUGAGAAUGGGAGGAGGAAAAAAAAGAUUUAGAAGUGUCAUUCCAUCAUCAUUCUGGAGGUUAUUCACUAUUUCAAAAAAUGUCGUUUGACUGAAAGGGGAUUGCCACGGGUUUCAAAGUGAAAUGUGAAUUUAUUAUCAAGGAGAAUUUACCAACACAAAAAGGAAUAAUAAAAUAAAAAGAAUCGAUAACUUGAAGUUCCAUGGGAGCACUAACAUUCUGGUUUCAUGGCUACCUGGAGAAGAGGAUCUGCUCUCCGAUCACCAUUAAAUGAUGAGACUCAAGAAACAGAUGCAGCACAGAGCUGAUCAAAAAUGAACUUCAAAUGUCUGUGAACUGUGACUUGUCAUGUAAGGACUUCUCUCUGGCUGUGCAAAAGGACAAAGGACUGAUUGAAUCUGUCAAGAGCAGCAAGAAAUAUCUAUGGGAAAAGUAGACUUGGAAAAUAAAGGAAUACAAUGGAAUUUAUGAAAAAAAUCUAUACGUACACAAAGACUAACAAACAACCAAUGUGCAAAAGAAGAUAAAUUGUACGAAGAGAAAAUGUAAAUAAUACUGAGAAUGAAUGACUGAACCUGUUCUGCAACAAACUGUGGUUCAUUGUCAUUGACUAAGUUCUCUGGAACACCAGUCCUUGAGAAGAGGCUUCUCAACACAUCAACAGUGUGGGAGUCUGUAGUGGAGGCUAUUGGGAACAUUUCUGGCCACUUUGUAGCUGCGUCCACUACUACCAGGAAAUUUGUGCCCAUGAAUGUUUCGGCAAAUCUACAUGACUCCUCUGCCACAGAGUUGCAGGCUGUUUCCAGAGAAUGGAGAGGCGCAGUUCUUGGCAUCUUCUGGAUACAUUGGCAUCCCGACCAGUGCAUGUAAACUGCAUUUUUUAAAAACCUGGGCACACAUCUAGACAGCAUUUAAUUAGAGACCUACUCUCAAGAAUACUCCAACCUACUGAAUCGUGGACUGCUGUGGUGACUUGGAUUUCUGAAUACAAUUUUCCAUUUGAAAAUAAGCAAUGGACUCUUGCUUACCUUGGAGUUGGAGGUGAUUUCCUGAAGCUUAUUCUAAUUAAAUAUAUUUCUCAUUAUCCUCACCUGCCUGGAGAUUGACGGAAUAUUGUGUGAGUUCAUUGUGAAUGUGGCUGUAACCUUUCUAAAUGAGGCAAGCAUUUACAGGAUAAAAGAAAUACACAACAGCUGGACUGAACAUACCGGCUGUGUGGUGAAAAAAACACAACAGCGCCUCUUUCAUCUCAGAUGGCUGAUGAAGUUUGGCAUGGGUUCCCAAAUCCUCAGGACUUUCUACAGGGGAACCAUCGAGAGCAUCCUGACUGGCUGUGUCACCACUUGGUACGGGAACUGUACUACCCUCAAUCGCAGGACACUGCAGAGAGUGGCGUGGUCAGCCCAGCGCAUCUGUGGAUGUGAACUUUCCUCUAUUUAGGACAUUUACAGCAGUUGGUGUGCAGAACGGCCACUGAGGAUCAUCGGGGACUCCAGCCACCCCAACCUCAAACUGUGUCAGCUACUUCCAUCUGGCAAAUGGUACUGCAACAUUAAGGUCAGGACCAACAGGCUCCUGGACAGCUUCUUUCACCAGGCCAUCAGGGCACCUGAUCCUCAAUUGAGCCGGCUGCAUAAAAACUCUGGCUUACAUCCAUUCGCGGCUGGUCCGUCACCUCAGCAGUGUGGCUAUGCUUGUUCUGGGCCACCGAGAAUGCGUCGAGUUGAGAGCCUGUUAUCCACAGUUCCUGGGUUGAUUUGAGAACCUGUCGUCCAGCUGAGCUUUGCCGCUUCAUGUGCUACCCGGAGUCGAGGUACGAAUUGCCUGUCAUUGUUUGUUUUUGUCAUCUUGAGUCUGGCUGAGUAUUGGAGGCUGUUUGUCACUGCUCCGAGCCGUGGUACGAAUUCUCUGUUGUUGUUUGUUUUUGUCACUCAGUGGCCAAGUCCAAGUCCAGGCUUCGUGUCCGAGCUCCUCCUGUUUGUUGUCCUGCAUCCUCGUCCACAUAAGCGUUCUAUCCUCGGCCCCCAGCUUUCCUGUCAACCAUUAAUAAACUGUUAAUGCUACUUACAUGUCUGUGUCCUGC